rnacentral:lncRNA from 1 species
GAAGGAUACCAGUCACUUUGUUUGGCUUGUCCUGCUGCUCUCUCUGCUAAUUGAGCCAAGGAGGUGUUACAGCGCUCUCCAAGGAGGGUAACUGGGCAUGGGGAGAAGAGAGGAUGGAAGAAAGCAGUCUGAUUUCUGUGUGUGAAUUUUGUUGAUUUUUGUUUGUUUGUUUGUUUUUGUGGUGGUUUUUUUUUUUUUUUUUUUGUGUGUGUGUUUUGUUGUUGUUGUUGUUUUUUAAGCUGAGAAUAAAUAUAACACUGCCUAGCAUUUUCAGGUCGUGAGCAGAUAUUCAUCCGGAGUGUUCAUGACCCUAUAUCAAGUGCAGGCCAGCAGUUGAAAGUGGCUGUCUGCUCAGAGCAACACAGCCAUUCUGAGGGCAUAAAGUGAGCAGUGUCUCCAGGCAUCCCUCCUCCUGACCCGCACCAGGCAGCCCUUCUCCAGGGACUGAGCUCAGAGCUUGUGGAGAGGGAGGGCCUGAUACGAGUACUUGCAAAUCCUGAUUUAAAUGCUCUUGCUGCAGGCUGGCCCAGAGCAGGCAUGGCCAGCAACAUGAGGAAGGUGCAGGAGCCUUGGCCUCUGGCAGCCAUCAGACACAAACCCUGGUGCUGCCAGGCAUAGGCUGCUGCUUCCAGCCAAGCUCAUCUUGGCUUCUGUCACCCUGAGAGAGGACUAGAAGUUGAAUUUAAGCCACUCGAGCCUACUCUUCACCUUGGAAUCAGCUGGAGAUGGCCUCAACCUUUGUGCUUCAGUAAAGGAGACCUUUGGACAGCCCUGAGAAUGCUGUGCCAUGAAGACCAGCCAGUGCCAGCCAUGUACCUUAUCUCUCCAUGCUGGAUCAGGACAAGGAUGAGCUUUUCACAGAAGCUCGAGACUAAAGUGGAAUAGGUCUUAAAGCUUUGUCAUCUUCCAGAAGGUUGCCAGUGAUGUACAGAUU